rnacentral:rRNA from 1 species
GGCGAACGGGUGAGUAAUAUAUCGGAACGUACCAAGAGUGGGGGAUAACGUAGCGAAAGUUACGCUAAUACCGCAUACGAUCUAAGGAUGAAAGCAGGGGACCGCAAGGCCUUGUGCUCCUGGAGCGGCCGAUAUCUGAUUAGCUAGUUGGUGAGGUAAAGGCUCACCAAGGCGACGAUCAGUAGCUGGUCUGAGAGGACGACCAGCCACACUGGAACUGAGACACGGUCCAGACUCCUACGGGAGGCAGCAGUGGGGAAUUUUGGACAAUGGGCGCAAGCCUGAUCCAGCAAUGCCGCGUGAGUGAAGAAGGCCUUCGGGUUGUAAAGCUCUUUUGUCAGGGAAGAAACGGCGCCGGCUAAUAUCCGGCGCUAAUGACGGUACCUGAAGAAUAAGCACCGGCUAACUACGUGCCAGCAGCCGCGGUAAUACGUAGGGUGCAAGCGUUAAUCGGAAUUACUGGGCGUAAAGCGUGCGCAGGCGGUUUUGUAAGUCUGUCGUGAAAUCCCCGGGCUUAACCUGGGAAUUGCGAUGGAGACUGCAAGGCUAGAAUCUGGCAGAGGGGGGUAGAAUUCCACGUGUAGCAGUGAAAUGCGUAGAGAUGUGGAGGAACACCGAUGGCGAAGGCAGCCCCCUGGGUCAAGAUUGACGCUCAUGCACGAAAGCGUGGGGAGCAAACAGGAUUAGAUACCCUGGUAGUCC